UUGCGUAGGUGGUCAGUAAAGUGAAUAGUGAAAUCCGGGGGCUCAACCUCACGGGCUAUUAUUCAAACUCACUGACUCGAGAGUAGCAGAGGUAACUGGAAUUUCUGAAGUAGGGGUAAUAUCCGUAGAUAUCAGAAGGAACACCAAUGGCGUAGGCAGGUUACUGGGCUAUUUCUGACACUGAGGCACGAAAGCGUGGGGAGCGAACC
rnacentral:rRNA from 1 species